rnacentral:tRNA from 1 species
GGCUGGGUAGCUCAGUCGGUAGAGCAGCGGAUUGAAAAUCCGCGUGUCGCCAGUUCGAUUCUGGCCCCGGCCACCA